GACGUAGGGGGCCAGCGUUGUUCGGAAUUACUGGGUGUAAAGGGUUCGUAGGCGGUGUGGCAAGUCGGGAGUGAAAUCUCUGGGCUCAACUCAGAGACUGCUUCCGAAACUGCUGUGCUGGAGUGUGGGAGAGGCGCGUGGAAUUGCAGGUGUAGCGGUGAAAUGCGUAGAGAUGUGGAGGAACACCGAUGGCGAAGGCAGCCUCCUGGGCCAGCACUGACGCUCAUGCACGAAAGCGUGGGGAGCAAACAGG
rnacentral:rRNA from 1 species